rnacentral:lncRNA from 1 species
AGAAGACACCGUCCGGCAGUUGAAGGUGCUCUCCACAUAAAGCGACUUCCCCUGGUGCUUCCCAGCCACCCUAUGACCUGGUGACAGACUUGGGAGAGCGGCUGAGUUGGCGUAGCUUUCAGUGGUAGCAAUGCCACAUUCCAUGGGAGGAGUCCCAUGACCUCAUGGACCAGGACUUCAUCCCUUCCAAUUCGCUGCUCCGGCAGGAGUCAGUGGCCGCCACCGUGUCCUCGCUGGCGUCAGCCGAUCGUCCUCCCCACCAGCGCACCGGCCACCGGCCGCUUUGACUAGCCAUGCAGGCCAGGGGCAUCGGGGCGUUGGACCGGGCAACACCGGCGGAGGCCUCCUCUACAGCCGGGAGUGUGGGCCCCGCCCACAGCUCCCUUCAACCUGGAGGACUUCAACAGCGUGAGACCCCUGGGCGACUGGACGGCAGGGCUCCCGCGCCCAGAACUUAACCCGUGUAAGUUCCACCGCAGCCGGCAGGCUGGCAGGCAAGUUCCAUGUGGACAGCGUCAAGGAGUGCCCCUGGGAACGAGUUCGGCAGCUCUUUGGUCUUCAGUGUGAGCAAAGGCAGCCGUGCCGGCACCCACUCAGCAGUGGGGGCACCCUACAGCCGCAGGCCUCCAACGUCUGGCCCAUAGAGGCCCACCUGGGCACAGGCCCCGCUUUCAGCAAUGCCCAAAGGCGACUUCCCCCCGGAUAGCAGCUCCUUUACCAAGACUAUUCCGACCCUGGGUCCCAAGGAACUGCUGAGCAGCAGGGACUGUCACCCUGUGCUGCUGCUCCCCUGGGCUUCUGUGCCACCCAGCCCAACUUCCCACUCUUCCUGCCCGACCAGAUGUAGCUGCAGGUCUCGCUGCUCCGUUACCAAGAGCUCGUGGCACCCUGUUCCUGCAUCUUGGAGGAGCACAAGCCAAAAAAGAUCACUACCCACACUUGGGAUUACAUAGGCAGCGGCAAAACCUACACAGACAGCUCUCGCCUCAAGAAACACCGCAAACCUACACAGAUGAGAAACCUUACCACUGGGCCUGAGAUGGCCGUGAGUGGAAAUCUGUCCUCUCAGAUGAACUGACCAGGCACUAUUGCCAACACACAGGGAACAGCCCGUUCCAAUGCCAGAAGUACAACCCUGCAUUUUCCAGGUCAGACUGCCUUGCCUUCCACAUGAAGCACUUUUAA